rnacentral:rRNA from 1 species
AGUUUGAUCCUGGCUCAGAUUGAACGCUGGCGGCAGGCCUAACACAUGCAAGUCGAGCGGUAGCACAGGAGAGCUUGCUCUCUGGGUGACGAGCGGCGGACGGGUGAGUAAUGUCUGGGAAACUGCCUGAUGGAGGGGGAUAACUACUGGAAACGGUAGCUAAUACCGCAUAACGUCUUCGGACCAAAGAGGGGGACCUUCGGGCCUCUUGCCAUCAGAUGUGCCCAGAUGGGAUUAGCUAGUAGGUGAGGUAAUGGCUCACCUAGGCGACGAUCCCUAGCUGGUCUGAGAGGAUGACCAGCCACACUGGAACUGAGACACGGUCCAGACUCCUACGGGAGGCAGCAGUGGGGAAUAUUGUACAAUGGGCGCAAGCCUGAUGCAGCCAUGCCGCGUGUAUGAAGAAGGCCUUCGGGUUGUAAAGUACUUUCAGCGAGGAGGAAGGCAUUGUGGUUAAUAACCGCAGAGAUUGACGUUACUCGCAGAAGAAGCACCGGCUAACUCCGUGCCAGCAGCCGCGGUAAUACGGAGGGUGCGAGCGUUAAUCGGAAUUACUGGGCGUAAAGCGCACGCAGGCGGUCUGUCAAGUCGGAUGUGAAAUCCCCGGGCUCAACCUGGGAACUGCAUUCGAAACUGGCAGGCUAGAGUCUUGUAGAGGGGGGUAGAAUUCCAGGUGUAGCGGUGAAAUGCGUAGAGAUCUGGAGGAAUACCGGUGGCGAAGGCGGCCCCCUGGACAAAGACUGACGCUCAGGUGCGAAAGCGUGGGGAGCAAACAGGAUUAGAUACCCUGGUAGUCCACGCCGUAAACGAUGUCGACUUGGAGGUUGUUCCCUUGAGGAGUGGCUUCCGGAGCUAACGCGUUAAGUCGACCGCCUGGGGAGUACGGCCGCAAGGUUAAAACUCAAAUGAAUUGACGGGGGCCCGCACAAGCGGUGGAGCAUGUGGUUUAAUUCGAUGCAACGCGAAGAACCUUACCUACUCUUGACAUCCACAGAAUUCGGCAGAGAUGCCUUAGUGCCUUCGGGAACUGUGAGACAGGUGCUGCAUGGCUGUCGUCAGCUCGUGUUGUGAAAUGUUGGGUUAAGUCCCGCAACGAGCGCAACCCUUAUCCUUUGUUGCCAGCGGUUCGGCCGGGAACUCAAAGGAGACUGCCAGUGAUAAACUGGAGGAAGGUGGGGAUGACGUCAAGUCAUCAUGGCCCUUACGAGUAGGGCUACACACGUGCUACAAUGGCGCAUACAAAGAGAAGCGACCUCGCGAGAGCAAGCGGACCUCAUAAAGUGCGUCGUAGUCCGGAUCGGAGUCUGCAACUCGACUCCGUGAAGUCGGAAUCGCUAGUAAUCGUAGAUCAGAAUGCUACGGUGAAUACGUUCCCGGGCCUUGUACACACCGCCCGUCACGCCAUGGGAGUGGGUUGCAAAAGAAGUAGGUAGCUUAACCUUCGGGAGGGCGCUUACCACUUUGUGAUUCAUGACUGGGGUGAAGUCGUAACAAGGUAACCGUAGGGGAACCUGCGGCUGGAUCACCUCCUU